rnacentral:rRNA from 1 species
CCCUUAGAUGUUCUGGGCCGCACGCGCGCUACACUGAUGGAUUCAACGAGUAUUAUGACAUCUUUUGAUGUCGUAGUCCUUGGUCGGAAGGCCUGGGUAAUCUUGUAAAUGUCCAUCGUGAUGGGGCUAGAUUUUUGCAAUUAUGGGUCUUCAACGAGGAAUUCCUAGUAAACGCAAGUCAUCAGCUUGCAUUGAUUACGUCCCUGCCCUUUGUACACACCGCCCGUCGCACCUACCGAUUGAAUGGUCCGGUGAAAUCUCGGGACGGCGGCUUGGUCGCUUGCGUCCGACUGCUGAAACUUGAUUAAACCAUAUCAUUUAGAGGAAGGUGAANUCGUANCA